GUCCUGAUGUGUCGUCUGAAUGCACACAGAUUUACCAUUGCAUAAAGUAAAUUUAAAAUGCUCUGAGUGUAUAUGUUUUUAUAUUUAUCCAAUUAUAAGUUCGAGAUUAAGUUAACUAAAAUUGUAAUGGAACAAUCUGGCUCGUGUCCUGAUGUGUCGUCUGAAUGCACACAGAUUUACCAUUGCAUAAAGUAAAUUUAAAAUGCUCUGAGUGUAUAUAUGUUUUUAUAUUUAUCCAAUUAUAAGUUCGAGAUUAAGUUAACUAAAAUUGUAAUGGAACAAUCUGGCUCGUGUCCUGAUGUGUCGUCUGAAUGCACACAGAUUUACCAUUGCAUAACGUAUUUCUAAACUAUUAUUUUCUAAAGCAAAGACGCUAUAUGUGUCUUGAAAUAUAUGGAACAAUUCAAACAUAACCAACUUGUGAUGGUACUAAUCUGGCUCGUGUCCUGAUGUGUCGUCUGAAUGCACACAGAUUUACCAUUGCAUAAAGUAAAUUUAAAAUGUUCUGAGUGUAUAUGUUUUUAUAUUUAUCCAGUUAUAAGUUCGAGAUUAAGUUAACUAAAAUUGUAAUGGAACAAUCUGGCUCGUGUCCUGAUGUGUCGUCUGAAUGCACACAGAUUUACCAUUGCAUAACGUAUUUCUAAACUAUUCUUUUCUAAAGCAAAGACGCAUAUGUGUCUUGAAAUAUAUGGAACAAUUCAAACAUAACCAACUUGUGAUGGUACUAAUCUGGCUCGUGUCCUGAUGUGUCGUCU